rnacentral:rRNA from 1 species
GACGAACGCUGGCGGCGUGCCUAAUACAUGCAAGUCGAACGCAGUGGGGACGGGUGAGUAACAUGUGGGUAACCUCCCAUCAGAGGGGAUAACACUUGGAAACAGGUGCUAAACCGAUACUGAUGGAUGGACCCGCGGUGCAUUAGCUAGUUGGUGAGGUAACGACUCACCAAGGCCACGAUGCAUAGCCGACCAGCGACGUGGAUCGGCCACACUGGAACUGAGACACGGCCCAGACUCCUACGAGAGGCAGCAGUAGGAAAGCGUCGGCAAUGGACGAAAGACUGACCGAGCAACGCCGCGUGAGUGAAGAAGGUUUGCGGAUCGUAAAACUCUGUUGUUAGAGCAGCCGUAUCUAACCAGAAAGCCCCGGCGAACUACGUGCCAGCAGCCGCGGUAAUUC